GAGCCGAGAAAAAAGAGCUGCUAACUCUUCAACCC
rnacentral:tRNA from 1 species